AAAGAAUUAGUUAAUAUAUAACAUAAAUCUGUCUCAUUUAAAUUAUUAAUUUAAUUAAUAUUCUUUU
rnacentral:tRNA from 1 species